rnacentral:snRNA from 1 species
AGCUUCGCGCAGCGGCAGUAUCGUAGCCAAUGAGGUUUAUCCGAGGCGCGAUUAUUACUAAUUGAAAAAAUUUUUAAACUAGAUCCAUGUACUACAUUUUUAGUCAAGAAAACUUUGAUAAGC